rnacentral:rRNA from 1 species
CCUACGGGCGGCAGCAGUGAGGAAUAUUGGUCAAUGGGCGCAAGCCUGAACCAGCCAAGUCGCGUGAGGGAUGACGGUCCUAUGGAUUGUAAACCUCUUUUGUCGGGGAGCAAGGCCCGCCACGUGUGGCGGGAAGGAGAGUACCCGAAGAAAAAGCAGCGGCUAACUCCGUGCCAGCAGCCGCGGGAAUACGGAGGAUGCGAGCGUUCUCCGGAUUUAUUGGGUGUAAAGGGUGCGUAGGCGGAAGGUUAAGUCAGUGGUCAACUGUCGGUGCUCAACACCGGCCUGCCGUUGAAACUGGUCUUCUUGCGUGAGCGAGAAGUCUGCGGCCUGCGUGGUGUCGCGG